UUAAAUUGAAGAGUUUGAUCAUGGCUCAGAUUGAACGCUGGCGGCAGGCCUAACACAUGCAAGUCGAACGGUAACAGGAAGAAGCUUGCUUCU
rnacentral:rRNA from 1 species